rnacentral:lncRNA from 1 species
UUUGGGUGGGAUAUAAUAUUAUCUAUUUAUUUUAUUUUUCGAGAAGGGUGGGGGGAUCUCAUUUAGACCAAAAUGAACUACAUUCGACCUGCAUAUGCAGCAUAAUGUAUUGGAUUAUUUUUUCCUUCUUCCCAUUUUCUAUACUGAUGAAAAACUAGUUGACUAGUAAUGCCUUAUAUUUUCAUGAAAGUUGUGUCCAAAUGAUACAAUAUGACGUUUCUUACGGAGUGCAUAAUGUAUUGGGUUAUUUUUUCCUUCUUCCCAUUUUCUAUCCCGAGGAAAAACUAGUUGACUAGUAAUACCUUAUACGUUCAAAGUGGUGUCCAAAUGAUAUAAUAUGACGU